rnacentral:lncRNA from 1 species
CGACGAGAAGUCGCCGCGGCAACGGCGUCACCCGCGUGUCACGGUCGUGACGUCACCCCGGUGCGUGACGUAAUCUGAGGCGCGCCUUCGCGCCGUCGUCCGGGGAGGGUUUUUUCCCUUCUAACCACCCGCGCUCUCACACUUUGCCUCCGCUCCGCCGUUUCCAUGGCUCCGGUUUCCUACUUUCCUCUUGUCUCCUCCGUCCUCAGCCUGUUCUGUAAUGUGGGAUUUACUAGAAGAGCAGGGCUGGUGUUCGAGGAGGAGAAGUUGAAAUCCUAGAGGGAGGAAGGCGGGGAAGCCAAUACUACUUGCUAUUUCCACUGCAAUGAACGUCUCUGUGUCAUCAAAAUAAGAACUUCAACCCCAAGGUUGAAACAGCCAAGCAGAAUUUGAUGGAAAUAUAUUUAGGAACAGCUAAAUUAGCAGUGCGACGCGUGUUUUCUUUUCAUUGAAGAAUUCAGCCAGUUAAAACGAGUCUAAAUGGAAGUCUGAAAGCUUUUUCUUCAUUGUUGAGGAAUAAAAUAUUUCGUGUAUUUUUCGUUUUCCAGAUUCAUUCAUUUAACAAAUAUCAGUUGAGCACUUUCCAUGCCGUAGGGCCUGUACAAGGCACAUAGCAUUCUAGACAUCUGAAGCAUCAAAACUAAUCAUUUUUAUUUUGAAGAAAAUCACUCAAAAUAUUUUAUGUACUUUGUGCCUUUCAUGAACAGAAUAUUCCAAGCAUUCUCUGCAAAAUACGCAUGAAAACAAUUGGGAGAGAAGAGGUCAAUUAUCUUUGAGAAGCCCAAUUACAGAAUGAAAUUCAAUUCAUUAUUAAAAAUACAUGGAUCUAAUAAAGAAUAAAUAAUUGGAAAAGAAAAGUUUAAGGAAGAGAGAAACGGGAAUGAGAAACAAUUACUGUGGGCUCCCAAUGGCCUGGAGUGAAUCACCAAAGUAACCUAAACAUGAAGUCAUGAAAAACUAAGUGGAUUCUGCCUUUUAGUACUUCCCAUCAUGGGGGAAGUCACCAGCGACCUCCUUACUGUAUUUUGGAUGAUUCAAGAAAUAGAAAGGUGUCCUACUGACUUCUGAAACAGGGUGUCUUCAUAUUGAUUAGGGUCACCGUAAGCCUGGGAGCUGAUGCUUACUCUCAGCCUGCACCUGUGGCCUCAUGGCGCAUUCUCUACAAUCAGUUGACAGAGGAAGAGAAGACUCAGGCCUGGUUUACAGAUGAUUUUGCAUUCUACGCAGGUACGACUCAAAAGUGUACUUCUGCCACAUUACAGUCCCUUUCUGAGACAUCCCUGAAAUACUGUAGGAAGGGAAAUCUUCCCAGGUGGCAGAACUUUGAGCAGUGCACUUGGUUGUUCACUUUGCUUGUAAGGAGAGAUGGCCAGAUGUGCAAUUAUGUAUCAAUUCUUGAGCUGUGGCCAGUGAUUUGGCUGGGUGGUCAGGGACUUGGAAAGAACAUGAUUUAAAAAUUGGUGACAAGGAAAUUUGGGGAAGAGAUAUGUGGGUGGACAUCCCUGAGCAAAAAACUUCUGAAGUUAUUUGUGUCCCAUGUGAAUGCUCACCAAACCAAAAGGUGAUGUCAGCAGAGGAGGAUUUUAAUAAUCAAGUGGAUAGAAUAACCCAUGUGUGGAUACCAGCGGUAUUAGUCCAUUCUCUCACUACUGUGAAGAAAUAUGCAAGACUAGGUAAUUUAUAAAGAAAAGAGGUUUAAUUGACUCACAGUUCCACAUGGCUGGGGAGGCCUCAGGAGACUUGCAGUCGUGGCAGAAGGCACCUCUUCACAGGGCAGCAGGAGAAUGAGGGCUAAGCAAAGGGGGAAGCCCUUUAUAAAACCAUCGGAUCUCAUGAGAACUUACUCAAUAUCACGAGAACAGCAUGGAGGAAACAGUCCCCAUGUUUCAAUUACCUCCUACUGGGUCCCUCCCAUGCCAUGUGGGGAUUAUGGGGAUUAUAGUUCAAAAUGAGAUUUGGGUGGGGAUACAGCCAAACCAUAUCACCAGUGAAACUCUUUCCCCAACAACCCCAUUAUUGUCCAAUGGGCUCAUAAACAAACUGGCCAUGGUGACAGGGAUGGAGGUUGUGCAUGGGCUCAGCAACAUGGACUUCCAUUUACCAAGGCCAACCUGGCUGUAGCCACUGCCGAGUGUACAUUCUGCCAGCAGCAGAGACCAACACUGAACACGCCAUAUAUGGUCCUAUUCACUGGGGUAAUCAGCCAGCUACCUGAUAGCAGGUUACCAUUGGACAUAUGGAAGAGGCAGCAUUUGGUUCUUACAGGAACAGACAUUUAUUCUAGAUAUAGAUUUGCCCUCCCUGAAUGCAGUGCU